rnacentral:lncRNA from 1 species
UAAGAACUUAAAAGAAUUUAGUAAUUUAGCAUUGACCCGAAGAAUAACUCCUUGAAAUUCGAAAUUUAUUUAUAGUUUACAAUGAUUUCUUCACAGUGUCGUGGAAAGCUUAUACGGGGCCCUUUUAGUCAUGUUUUUUAAAACAAAUUAAAUAGGGCUAUCAACUAUUAAACGGACCUCUAAGUUUUCAUGUGGACCUGAAAAAAAUCCCCAGUUUCUUCCUCUCGAAGUCCCCACUUAUUGAUAACGAUAUUCAAUAUAAGUUCAUUUUUUAAUAUUUCAUUUACAUAAAACGGCUUAAAAUAGUCAUUUUGAUGUUUCAAAUUAUUUAUAUAAAUUAAAUAAACAUAAUAAUGUUGUAAAUAUAACAAACGAUUCGUUGUUCCAUUUUAUAACAUGAAAAUGGUUGAAAUAAUUUAUAACAUUGCAUACAGAUGGCAGUAAGUGAAAUAUAUGUUUACUCGUGUACUAAAUACAAAUACAGUACUGCAUUUACUUUAAUUAUGUAAGUUACUUGUGUUUGCAACCGAGAAGUUUCGAUGUCAUA